GAUGAACGCUAGCGGCAGGCCUAACACAUGCAAGUCGAGGGGGAAGUUACUUUCGGGUGACUGAGACCGGCGUACGGGUGCGUAACGCGUAUACAAUCUGCCUUUCACUGGGGGAUAGCCCGAAGAAAUUUGGAUUAAUACCCCAUAGUAUAUAGGGACGGCAUCGUUUUUAUAUUAAAGCUUAGGUGGUGAAAGAUGAGUAUGCGUUCUAUUAGCUAGUUGGAGAGGUAACGGCUCCCCAAGGCGAUGAUAGAUAGGGGUUCUGAGAGGGAUGUCCCCCACACUGGUACUGGGAUACGGACCAGACUCCUACGGGAGGCAGCAGUGAGGAAUAUUGGACAAUGGUCGGAAGACUGAUCCAGCCAUGCCGCGUGCAGGAUGAAGGUCUUAUGGAUUGUAAACUGCUUUUGUAAGGGAAGAAUAAGGGCUACGCGUAGUUUGAUGACGGUACCUUACGAAUAAGCAUCGGCUAACUCCGUG
rnacentral:rRNA from 1 species